UACAGAGGUCUCAAGCGUUGUUCGGAUUCAUUGGGCGUAAAGGGCGCGUAGGCGGCCAGCACAAGUCAGUUGUGAAAUCUCCGGGCUUAACCCGGAAAGGUCAGCCGAUACUGCGGGGCUAGAGUGCAGAAGGGGCAACUGGAAUUCUCGGUGUAGCGGUGAAAUGCGUAGAUAUCGAGAGGAACACCUGCGGCGAAGGCGGGUUGCUGGGCUGACACUGACGCUGAGGCGCGAAAGCUAGGGGAGCGAACGGG
rnacentral:rRNA from 1 species